AGCGCGCCAGCACCAGAAGCUCGUGGUGUAUUUCUGUCUUGGCAGAUGCACAUUCUGUUCUAAAGGUCUGUUCAUCUGAUGCCUUCCUUGUUUUCAGGAUGUGAAGGCGAUCUGGCUGUGACGUCGGUUUUCCCCCCCAACCGGAUCACUGGGCUUGAUUGUGCUGAUCGGGCUAGGACCUACAGACUGAUAAUGUUCUUACCUGCCAAAAUGAAAUACUCCUUUAGCUUCUGCCCCUGCACUGCAAAGUUUGGAAGAGCAAGAACCGGGAAUUUCCUUUAGACUCUGGCAUCUACUAAUAUGAUCAUCACACAAGAGUACAAGCAGGGGAAGAGGGAGAGGCAGCCUCCCCACAGAGCAAGGACCCUGAUGUGGGGCUCCGUUCCAGGACUGUGGGAUCAUGAACUGGCCUGUCAGGAGAUGCUUAACUGGCUAAGCUACACAGGUGUCCCUAUCAAUACCAAUUCUUUCUUCCUUGAACUUUUUUUAUACUACUUUUGUCUACACUUUCUGCUCCUCAAUCCAGCAAUCAGUCCGCUAAUGCUCAAAGACAAGAUCGAUCAACCAAUGAGCAUCACUGAAUCUUUACUCAAGGCAGUAAGGAAUAUCACUGGAGACUCCAGACCCUGUCUUCUACCGCACGGGAAAACAACUAUCUCCCUUCUCAUCCUCAUAUCCAUCACAGCAGAAGACUGGGGAUUUACUUUCUGCUGAUCCAAGAGACCCUGGGCGUAAUACCACCCGGCUCAACAGAGAGUAGAGAGGCUAUAGUGAAAAUACAGUUAUAUGAAAGUUCAUGUAUGAAAAAUGAGACUCCACCCCUACAGGCUAAUUUAUCAAAGAACCUCAAAUUGCUCAAAUAAUCUAGAGAAGGAGAAACAAACAUAGAGAUCUCACACAUCCCGUUUUCAAAACUUGUUAACGAAGCAAUAGCAAUCAAAACAGUAUGGUGCCGAUAAUGAAGACUGACAAAUAAGCCAAUGGAACAGAAUAGAGAGCCCUGAAGUAAACCUUUGUCUACAUGACCAAAUGAUCUCUGACAAGAAUGUCAAGGUUACACAAUUUGUAAAGGAUAGUUUUUCAAUAAGUUGUGCGGGGAAAACUGGGUACCUACAUGCAAAAGAAUAAAUUUGGACCCUCACUUCAUACCAUGUACAGAAAUUAAUUCACAACAGGCUGAAGCUCUAUAUGUAAUAUCUGAAAAUAUGAAACUCCUAGAAUAAAAUAUAGAUCAAAAUUUCAUGACAGCAGAUUUGGCAUUACCUUGGAUAUGAAAAGUACAGUCAACAAAAGCAAAGAGACAAAUGGACUACAACACACUUAAAAACUUCUGCACAGGAAGGGAAACAAAGUAAAAGAGAAACUUAUAGAAUCAGAGGGAAUAUUUUCAAACCAUAUAUCUGGUAAAGAAUUAAUAUCCAGAAUACAUACACCUUUACAUUUAUUUCAGCAUUAUUUAUAAUAGCCAAGAUGUGGAAGCAACCUAAGGGUUCACUGAUAGAUGAAUGGAUAAAGAAGAUGUAGUAUGUAUGUGUAUAUGUGUGUAUAUAUAAAAUCCAUGUGUAUAGUGGAUAUAUAAUAGAAUAUUACUUAGCCAUAAAAAGAAUUAAACCUUGCCAUUCAUGACAACAUGGAUGUAUGCAGAGUAUUAUGGUAAGUGAAGUAAGUCAGACAGAAGAAGACAAAUACUGUAUGAUUUCACUUAUAUACCACAUUUGAGAAAAAAACAAACAAAAAACUCCAAAA